UUAAACCCUGCAAAUGUUUCAACUCGACAGGAGCAAGUUGAAGCUGCAAGGAAAGGACUAGAUCAGGCAAAGGAGGAGGGACUAAAACUCCAUCAGUCAUCUGACAAUGAUGAUGAGGACUCCAUGCCUCUCACUCCUGAGGAACAUCCUCCAGCACGCCGCACACGCAAACACAAAGAGAAGGGUGCCCCCUCUACGAGGGUCAGUGGCAGGCUUAGAGGAACACCUGCCAAAACGGGCGAUGAUGUGUCUUCAACACGUCCAUCAACAGACACAGAUAGAGGGAGUAGGGGGGAGACGCUGGUAUCUGAGCCCAGUAUCAGCCGUGCCAGUCUCAAGUCCCCCCAGGCUAGAGAAGUGCCUGAUAGACCCCGUAGUGGUAUGCGAGGGAGAGGGGCAACCAAAGAACCCGUGGCCUUCCCAGCACACAUCCAACCAGAGCACCCAAAACUUCAAACUGAUCAGCAGCUCUCUGAUUUAGAAGUGACGCAAGAUUUAGUCUCCAGAUCAAGACAGGCACCAUCUCCUCUUCGCCAGUCCCUUUCUCCAAGUUCAGUGGCUUCAACUGCUGCCUCUCCAUCAGUGGACAGAAGCUCUAGUGGACACGCUUCUGCAGUGCCUACACAAAGAGAAACGGGUGAUGAGCAUGGAACAGAUGCACACACUGAUGUUCCUCUUUCGGGCAUAAGAGAGAGGGGAGCAUCAAUAUCUUUGGACUCUACCUGUUCUUCUGAACACCAGCUGGAGCAGGAUGGCCAACACUCACAGGCUUCUCCACACCCACGUUCACCACGUAAGAGGCAGACUGCUGAUGGAGAGGUCUUAAGAGGCCUUCCGGAAGAUUCCCCAUCUGCUAAGGUUCUUAGGAAGCUUCCCGGCCGCCUGGUCACUGUGGUUGAGGAGAAAGAACCAAGGCGAAGGAGGAGGGGUUGUAGUAUGAGUGGGGGAGUGCAUACUGAAGGUUCGUCAGAAGAGUUGGAGCAGGCUGAAUCGGCUCAAGAUGCUGCCCCCUAUUCUCCUGAUCGAGUAAAUCAACUGCUCAAAGAUAAGACUCUUCCUAAAUCGCCAUCUAUGUCACCCUCUCAGACACAGCAAGCGCAGGACCAGGUCUCUCCAUCAUCAUCAUCGCUGUCAAGUCCGGGUAGAGGGUACCACCCGUAUUCUCCAACUCACCAUUCACCAGACAUGCCUGUUCUUAGGAAUUUGCCAGUGCGCCGGCGCCUGGAGACAGAGUCUCGAAUGGCUGCACAGUUAGGAGAACAGUACCCAGGUAGAGGCAGAGGGCUGGACCGACGCACUCCACUGUCACCAAAGAAACAGGAACCUAUUUCAGCUAAGGACAACACUGCCACCCCUGCUGUUGCUCCUGAUCCCAAUGCAGCCAAUCCUAAUCCAGUGAAGCGAAAAAGGGGUCGACCUCCAAAAGUGUCUAGGCCACCAGAAGCCCCAGAGCAAAAGAUUCCCAUGGUUCAAAAAUCAAUAACUGAAGAACAAAGUCCACCACCCCCAAUAAUAAAACGAAAGCGGGGUCGACCUCGCAAAAAUUCCAUCAUAAAUAUAGCAGAUGCUGGUAAUUCUGGACAAGUUUCAAGCUCUCCUUCAACCUUUUCCCCAUCCGUUUCACAUGAAAGCCUUUCUUCUCUAAACCGUAAUUCUUCUGUUAGGCCUUUAAUUUUGCCCUCUGACCCUGAGUGCCCAGUAGUACGUUCUCCAUCUGAUGUUCCUUCUGCAUCAUCUAAAGCUGCUGAUUCCAUGCCUUCUCCUAAAAUGGACUCUCAGUCCACUACACCCAUUCCCGAAUUUCCAGCACCAAAUGAAUCUCGGAUAAAGCUAACGCCUACUUCACAACUCUCAUUUGGUGAUGAACACACCAAUCUGAAUGUCAUGGCUUCACAUUCUGAUUCUCCAACUAUUUCAACAAUCACUUUAACACAAGCCAUUCCUUCAGAAAAUAUCAGUCCCAACAACCCACAACCUUCAUUUUCACUACAGCCCACCGUUACCAGUGAGACUUGUGCUGUCUCUACCCCUGUGCCUACCCAACAACUUGAUCCUUCAUCUGCAUCCUCUGUUUCUCAAAAUAGUCAAGUCAACAUAAUGUCUUCACAGCUGGAAGUUUUUCCAAGCAAAGACACUGUUCCAGAGUCUUUACUGAAAUCUAGUCAGAGCACAUCUCUACAAGACUCAACCACACCGACUGAAUUAGUGAUGCAGCACUCUCUUAAAAGCAACUUGGCAGCAGCUGGCCCUCCAGAUAUCUCUAUUAGCUCCACUAUAAUUAGAACCUCUCCACAGUCUUCACCCACAUCUGCACAAACAUCUAGCAAGGUCAUAUCCAUACCAAUUGUGACCACUGACCUUCCUCAACCUUCCUCGGCACCCACCUCUGACUUGUCACAGCCUUCCAUUACACUUAGUACACCAGAAGUCUCACAGGAAUGUGCAUCUAAUCCUAAACAGACAAAGACUGCUCCAUCUCAGUUUCAUGCAAAAUGUGAACCAACAAAAACAUCUGCACCUUUAAGCCAAAUGACUAUAACCUCUGCACCUUCACCAACAUCACCUGACCAAAUGACGGUUGAUCCUCCUCUGUCAUCGUCCUUUUCCAGCCAGAGCAGCGCACACAGGCCUCACAGCCCUGCAGAACAGCCUGCAUAUGGGAAACAGCAAAGCCAAAAAGUCUCACAGAAGGAGGGACAGAUUGAAAACAAAGAGGAAAUGGAAAAGAAAAAUUCUAGAAUACCAGAGCACGUAGAGAGUGAUGACAUUCAGUCUCAGGCCAAAAGGAGGAGAGUGGAUGAUCCAAUGUCCGAUGCAUCACAGCCUAUAUCCUCAAUCUCAGAAGCAGUGAUGCAAACUGUUCCUGAGAGCGACAGUUUGGAUAAGCCAGUAGAAGAAGAGAGUCAGACAGAGCGAGAAAACAGAGCCUCUGGCAAAAAAAGAAGCAUUAGCAGACAAAGCAGUCAGGAAUCUGUCCGAUCCUCCUCCCCCUCCUCUGUUUCUUCCGGUGGCACUCGCUUGUCUUUGUCAAAAAAGGCUGGAGAGAGCAGGAUGCCUGCAAAGAGGAAACGAGUGGAGACGGACUCAGAAAAGGAGAGUGCACACAGAGAGACUCCUAAAGAUCCAGUGACUCCUGCCAGAAGACGGUGUUCAAACUCCUCCUCCUCCUCCUCCUCAGACUCUGAAGACUCAACUGGCCAAAAGAGACGUCUUACUCGCUCAUCGCAUAAACAUUUGGAGGAGACCCAGAGUGACAAAGGUGGGGAGAAGACUAACAGACGCAGGAGGAGAUCAGAUAAGAAGAGUCAUGAAGCUGCCACAGAAGGGGAGUCCAGUGGAGUAACACCCCAUAGGAUAACCCGUAAAUCAACUCCAACCUCACCCGAGCCUGAGGUGCUGGGCAAACGUUGUUCGGCUCUCAAUGCUGCUGCCAAACUCUUGGCUAUGAGAGGACGGGGACCAGAUACACCAAGUCCUAGCUCAAAGGGUAAGGCUGCAGGACAACAAACCACCUCUGAAAAAAGCAUCAAGCCUAAGGGCAGGCCAGGACAGGACUCCCCUAAGACAAAUUCAGUUCAUAAUAAAACGGGUAGUGGUCGACACACCCCUACUCAUUUAACUGAUUCCCCGCAGUCGACAACUGGGGCAAGUCUCUCUGCUGCCCGUUCUACACGGCAGCGACCAGGCAACCUUGUGCCUCCCUUGAAAUCUGAAAACAAGCGGGCAAAAAGAGAGGAAAAGAAAAAGACCUCUGAUCAGAAGGAGGAGGUGGAGGAUGAGAACAGGGAGACGAGGUCUUCGAGAGGUCACAGCGCAUGCAGUAGCAUUAGCAGUGAAAGAGCAAGCAGUAGGAGCCGGAGCAGCAGUAACAGCAGUCAGUGCGCUCACAGCCUAAGCUCUCGCAGUACCGGGCCACCACGUUCCCGUUCACGAGCUCCUUCCUCUGGCAGUGAUACAGAGAGAGGCAAAAGCAGGCAGAAGAAAACAGGAGAGAGCAGAGGUCGUGAAAGCAGGAGAGGGAGACGAUCGCAGAAGCACGAAAAGCCAGAGCUGAGUGCUGGGUCCAGCGAGGGAACUCCUGACAGGGUGCUUCGGAGUGUUGCUGCCUUGGCAGCAGCCCAGGCUCGGACUCCUGCCAGCAACACCCGCUCCUCCUCCACCCAACACAGGCACUCCAAGACCUGAUCGGGACAAAAGGCUGAACUAUUAGGUGGUGGAAUGAACUAACGAGAACUGCAGUGGAGAGCGGACAAAUUUUACGGGUUUUGAGGAACGGGGAUCAAUCUUAAAACUUGCCAUUCUUUAACACUGUCAAUGGGGAGAGGUAAAAUCAAGUCCGUUGCACUUUGCGAUAAGAGAUGAACUUGCUUUUGACGCAUUCUCACCUAUGUCAAGUUAAGCCAUCUUCAGUGUGGAGAGGAAGCGUAGAUGCAAGGCAGAGAUGUGAGCAAAAAGGGUACCUGUUCAAAAUGUGGGAUUGCUGUCAUCACGAGAUUGCAAAGACAGUACCUCAAAAAUACCACAAGGACUUCGUAAAGCUGGGCAAGGGGCAAGAGUUGUUGUUAGUUCACACUAUGUACUGUAAUCAAAUAAAGACUGGAAUACUAAAAGAAGUAUGUGUUAAGAUGGGUCACUUAGGUUGUACCCUUUAUACAGAGUUUACUUGUGCUGCAGAGCAGAUCGCGAUACAUCAUUUAUGCUACAUUCAAAAGAUUGAGUGGGAUUGUUCAAUUGUUAUAACAUUUUUAAACAGUUGGGUUCUGACAAAAUAUUUGCCAGCCGUUGACUAUUGUUUGUUUCAAGUCAGUUAAUGAAUUAAGAAUGUUGUGGUUUCUUCCAGGGUAUGAAGAACAGAGCAGGUCGGUUAAUGUGAUUUUUGCUGCACUAUGCUGGAAGUUGGUCUUCACUCAGACCUUUGUCUUGUGUAAAAACAUUUUUUCUACCUGUCCAUUAAUUUUACAUCCAGCCUGCAUUUUUCCAUUUGCACAUCUCACAUGACCCUGGCGUUGGAGUGCAUUGUGAUUUAGGUUUUUGUUUGUUUUUGUUUGUUUGUUUACCCCCUUUAAAAUCAGAUUUACUUCUUUACUGGUACCUCACAUAAUGUGUAAGUACAGCUCUUGAGCUUGUGAUGAAUCUUGAAGUCUACUUGUCAUUUGCUUUCUGGCAAUACAGAUGUGAGGGUAAAUCUUUUUCCAUCUUUUCAAGGUAUUGGUCAAUAUGGUCUCCUUUUUGUUACAUUUUAUUGUCAGUCUCAAAUCAUUGUGACAAAGUGAGAGUGCCUGUUGAUCCGCAUAGAGGAUCCCUGUCUGCGUUGUUAAGGAAAGUUUGGGAUUCAAACAUUUUUAAUGUUUAAAGUGUAAUAAAGACAUUUUCCAUCCUAAACCACAAGAGGUACAUGUCUGUUUGCAACCAAAUUGAAACAUCUUUAAUGUAAAUUGCUGUUUUCAAAAUAAGUCCUUUUUAUGGCGAGCCUAAAUGGAAAUAUUCCUGCAAGACCCUUCAGUAUGUUUUUUUUUGUUUUUUUCCUUUCCUAUUUUUUCAGCUGAACCUUAGCAGUCAGUGGUUGUCUUUGUCCCAUAUUAAUGGAAGAGACGUCCUUUGGGGGAUUGAUAGAAUGUGGUGAUGGUCUUAUUUUUAUUUUUUUGUGUGUUCUAAUUUGUUACAUUCCUUAUGUUCCCUUGUAAUUCCACAUCGUUUUACUUGAAAGAUUGAAACAACAAAAGUCGGUUGAAUAAAAAGACCAAAAAUAAAUAUUUUAGUUGUCAUUUGUUCAUGGAGUAUUUUUUUUUUUAACGCGGUCAAGAUACCCGCACUUUAGCGAUUCACAGUCAAUCAUCCGUGCAUUAUAUCCUAGCGCGCCUAUAUUCGCCAUUUUAUGGUUUUUCGACGCUCACCGCAAACUAACGCUCCUUAAGCAAACACAUUCGUAUUUUUCAAGCGCUUUGGUGUAGACACGCACUUUUAUUACAUUUAAAA
ensembl:lncRNA